GCUGAGAAAGACCCUGCGGGCUUCUAGAACCUCACCUUUGAUAACUUGGUGGGGGCAUCCCAUUGUGCCUGAAGCCUCUCAUGCUUGCUAUUCCUACCAGCUAAGGAAUUUUAACACUUUCUGAUAUCUGGGUUCUAUAUAAUGUUUAAUUUCUUCAAAGGCUUCUGUGGUUGUCGUCUCUAGGAUUCACAACAAUCUAGCUGUCGUGGGCAGGACAAGAGGGAUUAUUCCUAUUUUGCAGAUGAGAAAACAGUUCCUAGGAGAGCACCUUUCCUGCCUGAGGUCACUUAGCUGGCACAACCUGACUUGAGGACCCCACACACCAGGAUCCCAACAGAGAAAUAUGUCAAAGAAAAUGCCAUGGUUUCUGGUUCCUUGCUGAUGAACCAAGUUUCAUGCACUUGGGCGAGGUCCUGCUCCUGAAUAAUCUCUACACACAGGAAAGGAUGAGGCCAGCUGGAUCCAGAGAACAGAUCUGCAUGAAGCUCUUCUUCUCAAAAAGGUGGAGGAGGAAGGAGAGGGGACCGGUGGAUCUCGGCAAGAGGGCGGCAGAAACUGUGACCUUUGGCAACAGAGCACUGAGAACAGUUACAUCAUGAAAAGCACUCCUCCUUACCCUUCUCUUUAAGGAAAAAAAGAAGUGGGAUUCUGCUAAUGCAGAGGAGAAAAUUAGAGCCUUAAAUACAUAUAUUAUAAAAGGAAAGGCCAAAAGUCAAUGGCUAAAUAUCUGUCUUAAAAGUUGGCAAAAGAGCAGCAAAUUAAAUCCAAAGAAAGUAAGAAGGAAGGAAAUAAUAAAGAUAA